GGCUUCUUAGCUCAGCUGGUAGAGCGCUUGCCGAGUUGAGGCAUGGCGUUUCAGUCGCUGGUUCGAAUCCAACAGAAGCCC
rnacentral:tRNA from 1 species